GUAGAGGAGAGCGACGAGGUGGAGAGGCGGCGCGGCUGCUGCAGGUGUGAGGAGCCCACGGCCGGGAGCCAGCCACCCUCCGGCUCCGGUGGCCCCGGGCUGGUCGGUGGUGACCGGGAAGCUCAGACCUCGUGGACACAAAGUCAGGGCCUGGCCUUCGCAGCCUCUCUGUCCCCGCUCUCGAAGAGACCGGAGGGGUCGCUCCGCCCCCGGGCCCUACUGCCUUGGAGCUGGUCCUGCUCUCGCUCUCCUACCCAGUCCCUCCGGCUCCUUUCCACGAUCCAUCCUGGGCCAAGGAUUCCUGGUCUCCGGGCUUUCCUUCAGCAUGGAAUGCAAGGCCAUCAGCUUCCUGGGGAAGCCUCACCCCAGGGCGUGCGCCCAAGUGGGGACUCUGUCCUGGGCAAGACCUGAGGCUUCCUCCCCCCAAGCUCCCCACUUCUCAGCUGGCAGAGAACAAGGUCAGGGGGGCGGGGCCUGAAUCUCGCGGCGAGUCCUGGCGCAGUCCUGGGCAGCAUCCCUUGGCUACUGGCUGGCGGGGGCUGUGGCCUUCUGACUCCUUUUUCUGUGGAAUUCGGAGCGUGGAGUCUGCUGUGUGAUCCUAAGCAAGUCAUUUCACUUCCUUGAACUGUUGAUUCUUUUCCGCAGGGUUGUCGUCUACCUCACAGGAUUGCUAUGAGAAUAAAAUAAAAUGAAAGAUGUAAAAUCUAUACAAUAUGAGAAUAGUUUUAGUGUGGGUGGUAGGAAGAGCCAGUCUCAGGUUCAUCACACUCUAGAUGUGAUCUUUGACGUCUCUUCCCUUUGUAAAUUUAGGAAAACCUCACCUGACCCAGGGUUGUGGCUGUGACAGGGGAAGAGAGCCACGACGCUGGCUCAUCCGUGGCAUCGUGGUGCAGUAUUUGGCCACUUCACAAGUUAGUGGUCGGCUGAACUGCAGGGCUGCUUUAAGUAGAGUUUGUAUUUCACAGCAUUUCUUGUCUUCCCCCAAAAUGCCACCGGGGAGGAUCCCUCCUCAGGUGCCUUGUGCCUCAGGGUUGUUGGGGACCCUGUGGGGCAGGCUGCCCCAGAAGGAUUGCCUCUGAUGCUGAUGAAAGCAAAAAGAAGCUCUCCUUCCCCUCAUCUCCCUUCAGCUAGAUUCAAGGAUGGCCCAGGAGGAGACAAAAGGAGGGUUCAGAGAGAGAAAAUGGGAAGAUUCAGCAGAGCAAAAAGGAGAAGGCACUUGUCCUAAGCCCAGAAACCAAAGAAGAGCUCUUUGCCAUAUUUUCUAAGUAUCCCUCAGUGGAAAGCCUGAAACAGAGAGCAUGCGUUACAGGACUGCGUCUCCUUCCCCGCCUUCACUUAUCCUAGCUUACACAUACGUAACAGUCUUUGCAAGAGCUUAAAAGAGUCAAAGUCAUGUAUCAUCCUCUUCUCUUCAAGAACACCAGACCAGAUAUGGGAGCAACAACAAAAGAACAAAACUGGAAACCGAGAAAGAUGAACACCUGUGGAGCAGAAUCUAUGGGAUGGGGAGGGAUAAGAAGGGCAGAAGAAUGCUGUUUUUCACUAUAAAUCAAUACAUCUUAUGGGUCUAUGUGUGCACACAAACACGUGGAUGUGAAGAGUACAUGUUACUUCAAUAAUUAAAAAAAUUAACUGGAGUAAGAUGUAUAGAAGAUUUUAUAUCAUUUUAUUAAUUAAAAUGGUCUUCAGGGAUCCAAAUAAAGUUGUUUACUCA